rnacentral:tRNA from 1 species
UAAGACUUAUAGAAAACUAAUCUAUAUCUUCUGAAUGCAACUCAAAUACUUUAAUUAAGCUAAAGCCUUA